rnacentral:rRNA from 1 species
UACGGAGGGGGCUAGCGUUGUUCGGAAUUACUGGGCGUAAAGCGCGCGUAGGCGGAUCUGCAAGUCGGGGGUGAAAUCCCGAGGCUCAACCUCGGAACUGCCUUCGAUACUGCGGGUCUCGAGUCCGGGAGAGGUGAGUGGAAUUCCUAGUGUAGAGGUGAAAUUCGUAGAUAUUAGGAAGAACACCAGUGGCGAAGGCGGCUCACUGGCCCGGUACUGACGCUGAGGCGCGGAAAGCGUGGGGAGCAAACAGGG